rnacentral:rRNA from 1 species
AACGAACGCUGGCGGCAUGCCUAACACAUGCAAGUCGAACGAGACCUUCGGGUCUAGUGGCGCACGGGUGCGUACCGCGUGGGAACUUGCCCUUAGGUUCGGAAUAACUCCCCGAAAGGGGUGCUAAUACCGGUUAAUGUCUUCGGACCAAAGAUUUAUCGCCUUGGGAUGGGCCCGCGUUGGAUUAGCGAGUUGGUAGGGUAAAAGCAUACCAAGGCGACGAUCCAUAGCUGGUCUGAGAGGAUGCUCAGCCACACUGGGACUGAGACACGGCCCAGACUCGUACGGAGGGGAGCAGUAGGGUGUAUUGGAGAAGGAGCGAAAGUCUGAUACAGCAACGCCGGGUGAGUGAGGAAGGCCUUAGGAUUGUAAAGCUCUUUUAGCCGGGAUGAUAAUGACAGUACCGGGAGAAUAAGCACCGGCUAACUACGUG